rnacentral:rRNA from 1 species
GAUGAACGCUGGCGGCGUGCCUAAUACAUGCAAGUCGAACGAAACUUCUUUAUCACCGAGUGCUUGCACUCACCGAUAAAGAGUUGAGUGGCGAACGGGUGAGUAACACGUGGGCAACCUGCCCAAAAGAGGGGGAGAACACUUGGAAACAGGUGCUAAUACCGCAUAACCAUAGUUACCGCAUGGUAACUAUGUAAAAGGUGGCUAUACUACCGCUUUUGGAUGGGCCCGCGGCGCAUUAGCUAGUUGGUAGGGUAAAGGCUUACUAAGGCAAUGAUGCGUAGCCGAAUUGAGAGGUUGAUAGGCCACCUUGGAACUGAGACACGGCCCAAACUCCUACGGGAGGCAGCAGUAGGGAAUCUUCCACAAUGGGCGAAAGCCUGAUGGAGCAACGCCGCGUGGGUGAAGAAGGUCUUCGGAUCGUAAAACCCUGUUGUUAGAGAAGAAAGUGCGUGAGAGUAACUGUUCACGUUUCGACGGUAUCUAACCGGAAAGCCACGGCUAACUACGUG